rnacentral:rRNA from 1 species
CUAAUUCGCCCUUAGAGUUUGAUCCUGGCUCAGAAUGAACGCUGGCGGCGUGCUUAACACAUGCAAGUCGCACGAGAAAGCCUUGAGCUUGCUUAGGGCGAGUAAAGUGGCGCACGGGUGAGUAACGCGUGGAUAAUCUGCCUUCGAGUUUGGGAUAACACUUCGAAAGGGGUGCUAAUACCGGAUGACAUUCAUUUUACUUCGGUGAGAUGGAUCAAAGGUGGCCUCUGCAUGCAAGCUACUGCUUGGAGAUGAGUCCGCGUACCAUUAGCUAGUUGGUGGGGUAAAGGCCCACCAAGGCGACGAUGGUUAGCUGGUCUGAGAGGAUGAUCAGCCACACUGGCACUAACACACGGGCCAGACUCCUACGGGAGGCAGCAGUGAGGAAUUUUGCGCAAUGGGGGAAACCCUGACGCAGCAACGCCGCGUGAGUGAUGAAGGCCUUCGGGUCGUAAAGCUCUGUCAAGUGGGAAGAACCCUUGCAUCCGGACAAUGGGUGCGAGCUGACGGUACCACUGAAGGAAGCACCGGCUAACUCCGUGCCAGCAGCCGCGGUAAUACGGAGGGUGCAAGCGUUAUUCGGAAUUACUGGGCGUAAAGGGCGCGCAGGCGGCCAUGUAAGUCAGUUGUGAAAGCCCGGGGCUCA